rnacentral:rRNA from 1 species
GAUGAACGCUGGCGGGGUGCCUAAUACAUGCAAGUCGAGCGAACAGAUGAGGAGCUUGCUCCUCUGACGUUAGCGGCGGACGGGUGAGUAACACGUGGAUAACCUACCUAUAAGACUGGGAUAACUUCGGGAAACCGGAGCUAAUACCGGAUAAUAUAUUGAACCGCAUGGUUCAAUAGUGAAAGACGGUUUUGCUGUCACUUAUAGAUGGAUCCGCGCCGCAUUAGCUAGUUGGUAAGGUAACGGCUUACCAAGGCAACGAUGCGUAGCCGACCUGAGAGGGUGAUCGGCCACACUGGAACUGAGACACGGUCCAGACUCCUACGGGAGGCAGCAGUAGGGAAUCUUCCGCAAUGGGCGAAAGCCUGACGGAGCAACGCCGCGUGAGUGAUGAAGGUCUUCGGAUCGUAAAACUCUGUUAUUAGGGAAGAACAAAUGUGUAAGUAACUAUGCACGUCUUGACGGUACCUAAUCAGAAAGCCACGGCUAACUACGUG